rnacentral:rRNA from 1 species
GGUCGCGAGGUCUCCACGCGGAGGCUCCGCCCGUCAUGCCGCGGCUCGUCCGUCCGCUCUGCACUUCUGCGGGGAGCCGGCCAACGGCAGUUGCUCUCGGCUCCUGAGGCGUCUGGGGGAGGUGGCCCCGCGCGAGAGCGCGGGGAGCGUACAGCCCCGGCGCCCGGCAGUCCGGGUCGGCGACUGAGGAGACUUUUUUCUGUGCGGUGCUUCGCACUUGCGACGCGGGCCUCCCCCCUCCCUCUCCCCUCGCGGGGUCUGGGUGGGUCGGUGGGCUGGGCCUCUCCCGUCGGGGCGGCGGCCGAGGCUGUCACUGCGAGUCAGUGGCGGCCCACGGUCUUCCGCUCUCCGACGGGAGGCGGGUCACACCUCGCGUCGAGGUCGUUGGCGUCCGAAUGGCUGCAUCCGA